GGGUGUCACUAAUCUUGUAGGAUAUUCGAAGCGUUUCAGAUAGCCACGCGAUAGUAAGACCCUUAGACCCUUUAUGUGGAAAUUGUUUUCUUUAUCUUGGAAAGCACAUAUAUGGAUUCUUAGAAAUAUUACGAAGUCGGCUAACUGAUGAUUUACACUUUCUUGGUCCUCGCAAGCAAUCUUAUCUUUUUCCUCGCUACAUCAAACAGGUUUGAGAUCGUUCUCUUUUAGAAGAAUUUUUAAGAGAAAUCUCUUUUUUCCGCAGCAGUCAUCGCAUUAAAUAGACACUUUGGGCUUGAAUUAAUUCUCCCUAAAAUUUUGCCCGCUAAUGGAGGAGUUUAGAGAAACAUGAAAAUAAUUAAUCAUAUAUCAUGAUCUGUCAUCGGCAUUCGAAUUAUCGCUGGUCUUCAAGAUUCCGACUAGACGGAAUUUCCUUCCUGUUGUUGGCUGCUUUCGAACGUUAAAGUAUUUUCUGCAGGCAUGCUUUUAUCUAUGGUUUACUGCCGCGAUUGGAAAGUUCUUUGUCAACUCAGACUUUACUGCAGAGGAGGAUUAUUGUGAAUUUUCAUCGCAAAAUGAUAUUUAUUGUGGAACUUGCAGACUCAAUUUUUUCCAACAGCGCUAUUGCAAAAUAUGCGGAGUUAAAAAAAAAUGAUUUCUUUUUCUAUAUAUAUGUAUGAAAAAUCACUUACCGCAUUAUUGAAAGAAUAUUGAAUUUAAAAGAAUCGUCAUCAAAAAAUCAAUACAGAAGAGGAUUCUCAUAGAAUCAUGGUGGAAUCCUCAUGGAACUAUGUUGCUAGAGAAUAUCAUUGUAAGACUUCAUUGCAGAAGAGGUUCACUCUAUGGAAUUUAAGUAAAGAAUAGGUUCAUCAUGGGAUUUCAUUGCAUAAGAGGAUAAUUAUGGGAUUUCGUCACAGUAGAGGAUUAUUAUGGGACUUUGUCGCAGAAGAGGAUUAUCAAGGGAAGACGCCGAAGACGGUCAUUAUGGAAUUUCGACGCACCAUGAGUCUUAAUUGUAGAAGAGAAUCAUUGUAGGACUUUAUCACAGAAGAGGAUCGUUGUAGGAUUUCAUCGCAGAAGAGGAUCACUGUGGGACUUUAUCGCAGAAGAAGAUUAUCAUGAGACUUCAUUACAGAAGAGGAUCAUCGUGGGACUACAUUGUGGAACUGGAUCGUCGUGGGACUUCGUCGUAGAAGAGGAUUAUUAUGGGGCUCCGUCGCAGAAGAGGAUCAUCAAGAGAAUCGCCGAAGACGGUCAUUAUGAAACUUCGUCGCACCCUGAGUCUUAAUUUAGAAGAGGAUAAUUGUAGGACUUCAUCGCAGAAAAGGACCACUGUGGGACUUCAUCGCAGAAGAAGAUCGUUGUGGGACUUCAUCACAGAAGAAGAUUAUCAUGGGACUUCAUCGCAGAAGAGGAUUACUGCGGAUCUCAAUUAUAGAAGAGGAUCGUCGUUGCAAAAAAGGAUCAUUGUGGGAUUUUAUUGCAGAAGAUAAUUAUUAUGAAACUUUAUCACAGAAACGGAUUCAUCAUUGAACUUUGUUGCAGAUAAACAGUUCUAAUUAUUUGUGGUAAAGCAAGAUCACUGCAGAAUAUCUCUCUUGUCACAGAACAGAAUCAUCACACAUCAUCUUUGUAUAUCUCUGAACAAAAUUAUUGUAGGAUUUUAUCGAAAAGGGAAUUAUCGUGAAAUAUAGUUGCUGCGGAGUAUAGCGAGAUUUCAUUA